CGGCUUAGGAUGAACGCUGGCGGCGUGCCUAACACAUGCAAGUCGAACGGACUUAAGACGCUGAUGAGGCUUCGGCGGAUCUGUUUAGUUAGUGGCGGACGGGUGAGUAACGCGUGGGCAACCUGCCUCAGUACUGGGGGAUAGCAGUUGGAAACGACUGAUAAUACCGCAUAAGCGCACAGAGUCGCAUGACUCAGUGUGAAAAACUCCGGUGGUAUGAGAUGGGCCCGCGUCAGAUUAGCUAGUUGGUAAGGUAACGGCUUACCAAGGCGACGAUCUGUAGCCGGACUGAGAGGUCGGACGGCCACAUUGGGACUGAGACACGGCCCAAACUCCUACGGGAGGCAGCAUGGGGGAUAUUGCACAAUGGAGGAAACUCUGAUGCAGCGACGCCGCGUGAGUGAAGAAGUAUUUCGGUAUGUAAAGCUCUAUCAGCAGGGAAGAAAGACUCGUAAGAGAGAUGACGGUACCUGACUAAGAAGCCCCGGCUAACUACGUGCCAGCCGCUGC
rnacentral:rRNA from 1 species